rnacentral:rRNA from 1 species
AUGAAGCUGAAGAUCAACAAGGCGUGCGACAUCGCCUCCAUCUCCGUCCUCCCUCCCCGGAGGACCGGAGGGAGCAGCGGUGGCGGUGGCGGGAUGAGCGCGCCUGCUGCUGCUUCCGCGGCGGCGGCGGCGCAGCAGCAGCGGUCCCAAUCGAUGUCGCAGAAGUCCUUCUCGCAGGGCAUAGGCAACGGUGGCGCGUCCUUCUCCCAGGCCAGAGGCGCGUCCUUCUCGCAGGGCAGCGACAGCGGAGGCGCCGCGUUCUCUCAGGUCGGUGGAGGCGGAGGCGCCGCGUUCUCUCAGGGCGGCGGAAGCGGAGGAGCCGCGUUCUCUCAGGGCGGAGGUGGUGGAGGCGCAGCCUUCUCUCAGGGCGGAGGUGGCGGAGGCGCGGCCUUCUCUCAGGGCGGUGGAGGCGGAGGCGCGGCCUUCUCUCAGGGCGGCGGAAGCGGAGGCGCGACCUUCUCUCAGGGCGGUGGAAGCGGAGGCGCGUCCUUCUCUCAGGGCGGUGGCAGCGCGCCGCUCGUGCACGCGCAGUCGCAGCUCUCGCAGGCCUCCCUCGACGCGAACCUCCUCAGCCUCCUCUCGCAGGCUCCCGCGCGCGACCAGGACUCAUCCAAGAGAACGUCUUCAUAUCCUGCCAGUUCAGCUUCUUGUGUGCGCGAGGAAUCUCAGCUGCAACUGACAAAAAUACCAACCAACCCUAUCCACCGCUGGUGCCCCUCUCUUCUGGAUAGCAGAUGUCAGGUUAAUGAGGAAGUUGAGCGCAAGUUUCAGCAUCUGGCAAGUUCAGUACAUAAGAUGGGAAUGAUAUUAGACUCAGUGCAAAAUGAUGUGAUGCAGUUAAACAGAGCCAUGAAGGAGGCAUCACUAGACUCUGGUAGCAUUCAGAAAAAGUUUGUGCUCCUGGAGGACUCUCUAAAGCAAAUUCUUAAGGGACAAGAUGACCUCAGAGCACUCCUUGAAGGAAUCACAGAAAGUAAUCCUGACCAAGUGAGUGUUCUCAACUCUCUCAGCAGCAAACAGGAUGAGAUGUCCUUGUUACUUUCAGUCUUGCCAAACCAUGUGCAAAGAGAACUGGGGCAACUGAAGGGUGACAUCAGCAGAAUUUUCUCAAAGGAGAUGGAGGUGAUGGUUAGAGCUGUCAGAUCUGUUGAUACUAGGCUUGACCAGAUGCAAAUGCUGGCAAACCAGAGCUGCACCACCAAUGCGAAACCCCUGAUGAACCAGACAAGAGUAGCCAAUGGAAGCUCCCUGAUGAUGCAGACACCAGUAGCAUAUGGAAGCCCCCUGAUGAACCAGACACCAGUAGCAGAUGGAGGUCCCCUGAUGAACCAAGGACCAGUAGCAGAUGGAAGUCCCCUGAUGAACCAAGGACCAGUAGCAGAGGGAAGGCCACGGAAGAAACAAAGGCCAGCAGCAAAUGGAAGGCCCCAGAGGAAGAAGCUAACACCAGUAGCAAAUGGAAGGCCUCAGAGGAAGAAACAAAGACCAGUAGCAAACGGAAGGCCCCAGAGGAACCAAAGACCAGUACCAAAUGGAAGGCCCCAGGUACAAACAGCAGAUGGAAGCUCGCACAUGAACCAGAAACCCGAAGCAAAUGGAAAUGGCCUGAUGAACCAAGUACUACCAGUAACACAAGCUGCCAGUGCUCCUGCACCCUUGGCUUAUCAGAGGAAGACAGAAGGUGUGAAGCCAAAUGUGGAGAAGGGGAUGGUAAAGGCUGCCACAGAAGCACGGAAAUUGGAUGGCUCAGGCGACAGCAGGCCGGCGCCACCUAAAGAGCAAGAGUUGGCGAUUCAGAAGGACAAUGCAGAUGCACAUGCGCCCAUCAACAAGGCGAUCGUGACGAUUGUCAUCGACUCGGACGAGGAGGCGGAGGAGGGGAGCGCGUCCUGCGUCAUGCUGAAGACGGGAGCAGGAGGUGCGGGAGAGGGGGAGGCGCUGGAGAUCCUGCGGCGGGCGAGGAAGCGCCGGCGGAGGGAGGAGGCCAACGCCGUCGCGCUGGACCACUGCUAG